GGGACUGAGGAUAAUACCCUAUAGGUUACCGAUGCUGGAAUGCUCGGUAACUCAAAGUUCCGGCGCCUUAGGAUGGAUCUGCGGCCGAUUAGGUUGUUGUUGGGGUAACGGCCCAACAAGCCCGUAAUCGGUACGGGUUGUGGGAGCAAGAGCCCGGAGUUGGAUUCUGAGACACGAAUCCAGGCCCUACGGGGCGCAGCAGGCGCGAAAACUUUACAAUGCGGGCAACCGUGAUAAGGGAACCUCGAGCGCCUGUACAUGCAGGCUGUCUGGGUGUCUAAAACACACCCAAAGAAAGGGCCGGGCAAGACCGGUGCCAGCCGCCGCGGUAAUACCGGCGGCUCGAGUGGUGGCCACUUUUAUUGGGCUUAAAGCGUUCGUAGCUGGGUUGUUAAGUCUCUUGGGAAAUCCGGCGGCUUAACCGUCGGGCGUCUAAGAGAUACUGGCAAUCUUGGAACCGGGAGAGGUGAGGGGUACUUCGGGGGUAGGAGUGAAAUCCUGUAAUCCUCGAGGGACCACCUGUGGCGAAGGCGCCUCACCAGAACGGCUUCGACAGUGAGGGACGAAAGCUGGGGGAGCAAACCGGAUUAGAUACCCGGGUAGUCCCAGCCGUAGACGAUGUGCGUUAGGUGUAUCGACGACCACGAGUCGUCGAGGUGCCGAAGGGAAACCGUGAAACGUACCGCCUGGGAAGUACGGUCGCAAGGCUGAAACUUAAAGGAAUUGGCGGGGGAGCACCACAACAGGUGGAGCCUGCGGUUUAAUUGGACUCAACGCCGGGAAGCUCACCGGAUAGGACAGCGGAAUGAUUGCCGGGCUGAAGACUCUGCAUGACUAGCUGAGAGGAGGUGCAUGGCCGUCGUCAGUUCGUACUGUGAAGCAUCCUGUUAAGUCAGGCAACGAGCGAGACCCACGCCAACAGUUGCCAGCACGAUCCCCGGAUCGGUGGGGACACUGUUGGGACCGCCUCUGCUAAAGAGGAGGAAGGAAUGGGCAACGGUAGGUCAGCAUGCCCCGGAUUAUCCGGGCUACACGCGGGCUACAAUGGGCAGGACAAUGGGUAUCGACACCGAAAGGUGAAGGCAAUCUCCUAAACCUGUCCGUAGUUCGGAUUGUGGGCUGUAACUCGCCCACAUGAAGCUGGAAUCUGUAGUAAUCGCGUCAAAAUGCGCGUC
rnacentral:rRNA from 1 species